rnacentral:rRNA from 1 species
UACGUAGGGGGCUAGCGUUGUCCGGAAUCAUUGGGCGUAAAGAGCGUGUAGGCGGCCCGGUAAGUCCGCUGUAAAAGUCAAAGGCUCAACCUUUGAAUGUCAGUGGAUACUGCCGGGCUAGAGUCCGGAAGAGGCGAGUGGAACUCCUGGUGUAGCGGUGGAAUGCGUAGAUAUCUGGAGGAACACCGGUGGCGAAGGCGGCAUCCUGGACCAACACUGACACUGAGGAGCGAAAGCCAGGGGAGCAAACGGG